GUGGAGCACUUGGAAGACCCAGCAAUAUACCGUUGUUUUUAAGGACACUUAUGUAGUUUAGGUAUCCAAUACAGUGAUGGAAGAUCCAGUUCUUCAUCUUUGGUUGAAAUUCCAAAGGAACACAGAACAGACCUAUAAUUAUCCAGGAUUUCCUCUUUGGUAAGUGUCGUGAGGGUAUAUGUUGAGUUUCCAAGUGAAUUGUCAAUACAUAAUUCGUUUAUCAAGCAGUUAAUGUAAUAAGUUUUACACACAAAAACGA
rnacentral:lncRNA from 1 species